UGUCCAGUAGCACCUUAAAGACCAACUAAGUUUGUUCUGGGUAUAAGCUUUUGUGUGCAUUUUUAUACCCAGAACAAACUUAGUUUGUCACUAAGGUGCUACUGGACA